UACAGAGGUCCCAAGCGUUGUUCGGAUUUACUGGGCGUAAAGGGCGCGUAGGCGGCGAGGUAAGUCGGAUGUGAAAGCUCGGAGCUCAACUCCGAAAUGGCAUUGGAAACUACCUUGCUCGAGGGUUGGAGGGGGGACUGGAAUACUUGGUGUAGCAGUGAAAUGCGUAGAUAUCAAGUGGAACACCAGUGGCGAAGGCGAGUCCCUGGACAACUCCUGACACUGAGGCACGAAAGCUAGGGGAGCAAACAGG
rnacentral:rRNA from 1 species